AUGUAAUAUACAUAUAUAACUCUAAAUUAAUAAUGAAAUGUUAAUUUUCUGUAGGUCUAACGUUCUGGUGGGGAAAAAAUACACACGAAGGCAAUGCCAUUGUUGUCCAGGAGAGGGCAGUCACAGAUACCAGCAGGGUUUAGAGGCGGUAGUAGUAACUGCAUACACAGCGAAAGGCGGCGUCCGAAAACCGUGAGCGUCACUCACGUCUUUAUGGCCUUCCUGAUGCUUCGACUGACUUCAAACCUUAUCAGCCAUCGGGCUGUGGUCAGAAAUCUCCCUAAUGCUCCAGCCAAAGCUUUUACGGUCUCCUAAACCGGCCUCAUUGGGCAGAUGGGAGAUAUGGGAGCACUACAGAAAGCAGAAUAUAGGGAGGCACAGCACAAACAAGUGGUGGCACAUGCUGAAGGUUAUGCGAGUGCAGCGAUGUGAGAUUAGAGAGGAGAGGAACCCGAUGGCCAUAUGGAGAGAUUUGGGAGAGCUGAGUCCUGUCACCAGCACCACUGCUGAAGUCCAUCAGAAGAGCAGAUCCUUCUAUUGGCACUGGUGAGAGAAGAAUGUGGAUCACAUCUCUGCUCUCUGUGAGGGAGCACCAAAAGAAAAAUUCUGCCAAGAGAAACCAUAAUGGAGAGCGCUGUUGAUGUAGAUAAAAAGUCUGCCCUGAGGACAGCUUGUCACAUGAAGCCUCUUGUGCCAUUAAUUACAGUUCUGAGGUGCAGAUGAAAUAUGGAUGUGAUAGAAGAGGUUUGCUUUGUAAUGUGUUGCUGGAUAAUAUUUUUAAAGAGACAACAUUGUACCCAGUCUUCAGCUCAUACAUAAGUCUUUCUUUUCUUGUUGCAAGAAAAGACUCCUGACAUCUCAGUCCCACAGCACUGAUGGGUACUGUUCUGGUUACAUCUACAAAAGCAGAUUUUUCCAAAGGGUCCUGCAGGAAGAGCUGUAACACAGAUGUAAUUCUCACAGAAGUUUGCUCUUCCUCCUUGCCAUCCUCAUCAGACCUGUCUUAGCUGGCAUCUUUAUUGCUGAGAUGCAGAAGGGAAUAAAAUGCUAAUGACUUUCCUAGAUGAUGAUAAU
rnacentral:lncRNA from 1 species